ACCUCUCUCGUCCACUCUCGCUCACUCACCCACUCUCUGGCUCGCCCCAGUCGAAUCCCUAGCUCGCCGCUGCCGCUGCCGCCUCUCCCUCGCACUCGUCGCCAGCGCCUCUCAGUCGCCCGUGUUGCCGGCGCCUCUCCCUCGCCCGCGUCGCUCUGCCUCUCCCUCUCGUGUCGUCGCCGCCACUCCAUUGUCCCUCUCGUCGUCGGCCCUUCAGGACCCCAUUUUUACUUUCCGACAGGUGGAUCCGAAGCGCGGCGGCUCGACCUGCAACGCCGGCAGCUGCGGGCUUUAAUCUGGAGCUCCAUGGCGUCCCACAAGUGCGGCGGCCAGAUGGAGCGGAUUCAUUGCUCCUGCGUGCACCGGGCGCUCCGCGGCCUCCUGUUCAUCAGCAGCAACAAGGCCAACAACGUCUGGAGGGAGGUGCAGGGCAACUUCAUCCCCUUCUGCUGCUGCCCAAUGUCGAGGACGGUCCAGUAGCCGCCGCUCGUCCUGGCGGUGGACGACAGCUUCGUCGACUGCACCGUCAUCUCCAAGAUCCUCCGCAGCUCCAAAUACAGAGGUGGACACAUUGCUGGAGCCGUGUGGCACUCCUAAUGGUCUCAAGCAUACUCCCGUAAAACAUUUGGAGUACAUUUGUUGGUUGAAGUACCAAGAUAUUUGUGGAACUUCAUUGAAGGAGUAAAACAUUUCCAGUACCAAGAUUGCAGUAAAUUUUGUGGAACUUCACUGCUUGAGACCAUGUUAAUGAUGAUGCUUGUGCAGUACCAAGAUUCAGUAUCAGUAGUCGAGUGUUGGUUGAAGUGACUGUUCAAUUGUUCAGUGUUUGUUUUGUUAUCUUCAUUUCGGAAAUUUAUCUUUCCAUUCCUUCUUACUUGUUCGUCAUGUAGAGACUAUACUGCUUUACUUCAGAUAAGUUUUCUUUAAAACCAAAUGAAUUAGGACUUGCAUUUUUUAAUUUAGAGUUUAUGCACCUAAUUUAAAGUUUAAUUUCCUAGUAGAUUUUGAAUGUCUUUUCUUGGUUCUCUACCAGAAAACACGGUACUCCAUUUUCUGGUGAUCACAAGAUAUAAAUCUACUAUUACCAGUACCAUCAUCUGGUGAUCACAAAACCAUUUGAAAAUGAUCAAAGUGUACUCCUUUUCUGUUAAUAUAGAGUACUGAAACUGAAAAUGUGCAUACUGAAACUGAAACUGGUCAAAUGGAGUACAAAACCAUUUGAAAACGAUCAAGAUGAUCAAAAUGGUCAAAUGGAGUACUCCUUCUCAGUUAAUGUAGAGUAGUUACAGUAAUUAUCACAUCAUCAUGCCCUCUUUAAUUGUCACUCAACUGUCACUAAUCGAGUGUUGUUUACUCCAACAAUUAUCUUAUUUUAAUUGUCACUCCUACAAGCAUUUCUUUCUCUUCUCUUUCUGGCUAAUCACUCCACACAAUUUAAAUGAUCAUUCAAGUUCCUUUUGCAAAUUCAAGUUUUGGUAAUGAACUGCUUAUAAGAUGGACUAUGUUCCUUUUGCCUCCCUUGUGAAGCAGUAGUUGUAGAGUACUCCUUUUCAAGAUGUCACCAAGAGUGGCUCCGACCGAGUUAUCACCAAGAGGGGGUCGGCACAGAUUCGUCGCCUCCAUAUCUUCAAGCGUCAUGGCUUGUCGGGGCUUGUAACGAAAUAAAACAAAACAUUAUUAUUUCUGUGAACUGUACACAUUAAAUAGAUACUGGGCCAAAAUCUAAAUUUGAAUCAUGCGACCAGGUUAGGAUGUGAAUUCUGUUCCGUCAGCACUAUUUUAUCAUGUAUGAUAUUUUCUCAUUCUUUCCCAGAACUUGUCUCUUUCCUUGUUUUGAACUGAUGUUUUUUAUAUGGUUGCUUGACAGUAUGAGCCAGAGCUAUUUCCUGGUCUGAUUUCUCCUGGGUGUACUAUGCUUUCUAGUGUCUGAUCUGAUGGCAAGAAUACUGUGUCGACGGUCAACCUGGACUGUAAAUUGGAUCUGAAAGCAAUAGUUCUCCAGGCAUGCAAUGCAGAGUAUAACCGCAAGGUAAAAUCAUUAUCCUAAGGCAUUCAUAAUGAUGUUUGAUUAUUUUUUCUCUUAUUCAGCUCUUGAUGCUAUAUUUCCGAAAACAUCCAAAUUUUAUCACUUUGCUAGCAUCCAGUUUGAUGAUGCUACUAAAUAUCGAACCAUCCAGCCUAACAUAGUGAAGUCACUGCCCUUAUAUAAGAAACAAAAUAUUUAGUUCUUUGACCACAACAAGCCCAAGAACUGUUCACACUUGCAAUCCUCUAAUUUUUCUACUCCUAAUAAAAUGAGGAGAGACGCGACAAGCAUUUCUGCUAAGAUAAAGGGUGGUGCAGACCUGAUUUAUAUAUGUAUAUCCGGAACAACGACUCCCCGAGAAUAAAUGCCUCCGUCCCAAAAUGUUUAUAUAUGUUUUAUGGACAUUGCAACGUUAAAAUGGAAUAGCCUAUGAGAUACUCCCUCCGUCCCAAAAUAAAUGCCUUGCCAUUUGAUCGAACUUCUCUAAACCUUGUACUCGUACUACAUUCAAUUUUUUUUUGCACACAUGAUAAAUUUUGACAUUCGCCGGUGAGGAAAGGACAUCAAAAGCUGCUACUAUAUACUGGGUUAAGUGGACGGAACAAAAAUCACAAAUCUAUACCAAAAUAAUUUGUAUAUAGCCAUAAAACAAAAUCCUUUGCAAGAAGAUGCUACGUACAUACCUUGACCUACAUCAGCAGCAGCAGCCAAACACCAACAGAGAGCACCUUCAAUGAGCAGACUAAGCAGCAUGUGGCGAGGGGAAGUGGCACCACUUGACCACCAUACAACACUCAUCAUCAGGUCAAUGUCCACACUACCCAAGCCUCAAACUCUAGGUUCAUCUCUUUUGUCAAUCUGUUGAGUUGAAUUGAUGCUCUUGGUUAGUGAGAGACAAGAUCCAUGGAGGUUGAUUGGGUACAGGGGUUAGAACUUGGUCUCGAACUUGGUGUCGGGACGAUGUGGGCGCAGCCGGGCCGUAAACCAUCAACAACCAUAUUCCUUGUGUUGAAAACAUAGUCAUGUACCCUUGUAAAUACAAUCAUAAUAAACCUGCUCUAAUGUCGGUCACUACCCGUCUCAAUUCCCCUAACUCGAGGUUGCAACUUGCAACUUCAAGAAUCAUUCUAAUAAAAUCAUACCGUGAGUGUUUUGCCAUCAGGGGCGAUAUCCCUGUCAUGGAAGCACCACCUGUCAACUCCAAGCUUCUUCAUGAACUCGAAUUGAGAUAUCACCGAAACAGAAAUCGAAGCAUAAGUUGUUGAUUCCAGCCAUGGACCUAAGACACAAGAUCAGGUAAUUCCCAUACUUCUUCUCUUAGCCAUGGCCAGGGAAUUUGUGCCAUCCUCCCAAGGCCAGUUCUUUGUAGGUGAACCAAAAGGAUCUCCUCCAGUACCCCGAAACAUAUGCCAGAAUGCCACACUGAACCGCAACCUAACCUGUAGCACAAAACAAAUAUAUAAUCCUAGUGCAGCACAUAAUGUACAAGUAAAUUAAAAGGAUAUAUACCAAAAAGACAUAGUUAUGCAAAUCAUACUUACAUUUUCUUUACAAGAAUCACUUCCUCCGCGUUACACCACUUGUAAGAAAGCUUCCUCUUGCUAGUAGGACCAUGUAGUACAUUUUUUCAAAAACAAAUGUUAAACUGGAAGCAACCUUUUAACAACAAUUAAUCUGUUCAGUUCAAGGUCAAUGGCCUCACCUCAUAGUUGAUCUUGGUAAAGCCCAGGAAGAACUCGCCCUCCCAAUCAUCGGAAGAGGCAUCGCCGCACUUGGCGUCUAUGUCGGCUCAGCAGGUUACCUGUGCGGCGAUUUGCAAGGAGCAACCAAAUCAGAACCAUGAUCGUGUUAAGUUCAUAGAUCAAAUCAUGGGCAUCAUUCAGAGCAGAAAAUUACCACAAAGUUAGCAAUCCCCCGCUCACUGCAGCAUACGGACCACAAAGAAGGAAAAUAAGAAGUUGGGCCAGAACACCCGCAUCACGAAAUCGGUCACCAAGAACAGCACACACUGCUCACUGGAUCGAUGGGCUCCGGGUGUUGUCUCUCCUCUACCUGGUCUCCCGGCGUCCUCUGGAUUCUGCUCCACCAUCUCGAUCGUCUCCCUUGGCGCCGAAUUCUACACACCUCCCAUCAUUCUCCUCCUCCCAUGUGCUCCAGAGUACCCAAUCUGCACGUGAUUUAGACAGACUAAAAAUUCGGUUCACGUUCUUGCGACAAACUAAAAAGUACAGUAUAUAGUUCAUCAUCUAGAUGGUUCAAAGACAUAGUAAAAAUAAAAAUACAACAUGAAUACUUGUGUUGUGAAAACAUUGAUCAGUUGACCAAACAAAUAGUGAAGCCUUGAAUCUUUCUUAGCACAUCAAACAAAUCUCUGUCGGUAUCUCCUCUCUAAAUAAGUAUUAUUUUACGGAUAUCUCAGAAUAAGAUUACCCCAAAAGAGUGCCCCAACAGUAUCUCAAUCUCAUACAAAAAGCACAUAACAUACAAAAACCUGGAUGGCCCGCAAUGAGUCUGCGUUGGCUCCUGAAGGGGAUCGGCGUGACCGUGCGUUCAUACCAGAUGGCUCCUGAAGGGGAUCGACGUCGGCUCCUGAACGUUGCAAAGGGAUCAACGAUGGCAAGGGGAUCGGUGGCUUCAAAUGGUUGCAGCCUUCGUAGCGACGGAACCGGCGCCCGGGAAGGGAUCUGCUAGGUACCUCGACGGGAUCGGCGCCCGCGAAGGGAUCCAGGGGUAGAUGGCUCUAGGAUCACUAUUACCUGAUAACAGAACCAUUUGAAAAUGAUCAAAAUGUACUCUUUUUCAGUUAAUAUAGAGUACUGAAACUGAAAAUGUGCAUACUGAAACUGAAACUGAUCAAAUGGAGUACAAAACCAUUUGAAAACGAUCAAGAUGAUUAAAAUGGUCAAAUGGAGUACUCCUUCACUGUCUCAAACUACCAACUGAGACAUUAGGAGUAGAGAUCCGUCGAAGUCUGAUGAGGCGACAUUAGACAGCUCGACGGGUAUUCUUCUACCUCUGGCGAACUCGAAGGUGACAUUGGAUGUUUCGUUGAAAAUUGAAAUUUCGACGGGACUUGAUGGAUUUUCUGGUCCAAGUAUGCAUCCUGAUGGAGAUUCCGGCCAUGGACCCUUCCUUCUUAUAGCAGCGAAGUCCAAUUCGGGUCGGGCACUACAUUGAUUUGUGUUUUCUUCACUGUCUCAAAGAAGAAUUAUUUGUUCAAUGUCGACCCGUGAGAGGGCUUCAUGGUUUAAAGAUUGUCCCGCCAGUAUGUCUCUCCUGAUCUGUGUGCAUAAUCAGAGAAGGGAUUGUGUAAAUUGAUUUUGUGGGAGCCUCCCUGAACACUGCAAGAUUAAGGUUAGAAAUUAUCCAUUUAAGUUCAUCGGUAUCAACUACUACAUCUGAAAGGAAGAUAAAAAUUAUUACCAGAUACUGUCGACGCGCUAGGGCGUCCUGCUCAGCCCCUUCUGGCACUCGUCCUCGCUGAGCACCACCAGCAGCGGGCGCACCACCGGCACCAUGGCGUCUCCUCCUCACGACGCCUCAGCGCUGCACGCCCUAACAGGAUAUCCUCCUCUGCCUCGUUAUAGGUAUCAAUAGUUAAAAUGCAGGUUUGAACGUAUCAGCAUACCAUUGAGACAAAGAAGAAAAGACUUCACCCCAGUCCCCUUAUCUUGCGCUUGCUCCGAUGUUGAUUUGGAACCAGCCUCUCUAGCAGACAGAGAAUCCCUGUCAAUAACAGCCUCUCAAGUCUCAAAGUACAUACUAAUAAAAUCCUUAUCAAGUACUCCCUCUGUAAACUAAUAUAAGAGCGUUUAGAUCACUACUUUAGUAUUCUAAACGCUCUUAUAUUAGUUUACGGAGGGAGUAAUUUUCUUGUUUCCAUAAUCGAUCAUGAAACUACUGUAGCAGCAUGAACAGUCAAUCCCCAUUAGUAGUGCACACACAGAAAUACAUAGCACAUACUCUUACCAUCUCUCACACAUUAGUAGUGCAGAAACCCACAUUAGUUGUUUGCUUCUGAUCACAGGCAGUCCUCUCCCUCAAACAAAUACAACUUUACGAAUUGGGCUGCAUAUAAUUAGGAGAACGUUAUGGACCUCAAGGUGGUUGCAGAAAUUUAUCAGUUCAACCUCCCUUCCACCAUUCUGUUAAGACAUACCAAAAAAUUGCUUAGCCGUGAAUUUCAUCCAGCAUCUAACAAAUUCAGAGUAAAACUUGAGAACACAACAUCAUAUAAUCAACUCGUACAGGGGACCAAGAUGACAAUCGUGGAUCAGGAAUAUAGUAGUAAGGGGACCAAGAUGACAUUCGUGGCCUCACACAGCCGGUGACGGUGAUCUUUGAACCCCACUCAUGGGGCCGUGCAAUGCAACCACACCACCGGCCAUCGGAUCGGAUCGGAACAGAUGGAAUCGAAUCGAAGUAGCGAACAUACCAGGAGCGCCAGAUCCGAGUAGGGAUAGCCGUGACUGGAGCAGGUGGCUCGGCUAGACGGCCCUAGAGCGGGAGAUUGGAUGAUUUGCCCCAUUUUACUUGGACAUUAGAUGAUUUGCCCCACUUUACAUAGGAUUAGAUCAUUUGCCCCACUUUUCAUUUUUCUUUUGAUGAUUUGCCCUUUUCAAUUACUGUAUUCAUUUUCGAAUUUCUAUCCCUUUUUCAUCAUGUGAAAAGACAAAGUUGCCCCUGUGGCUGAUUUACAAUUCUUCUGUAAUCUCCUCUGCUUUUGGACUGGUCCUAAUUCCAUCGACGAGCUCACCAUUCUCCAGUUCAACGCCUUUCCUCUCUUCUUCAUUCCCCAAUACUCAGAGAAAGCUACUGGAGGAGGCCGACCAGGGCACCUUGGCCCCCAUGUUGGCAGCAGCGGCCCGGCGCGGCAGCUCCCGCUGCAGAUCGUCGGCCCGGCGCGGCGGCUCCCGCUGCAGAUCGUCGGUCCGGUGCGGCGGCUCCCGCUGCAGCUCCUCGGCCCGGGGAGGCGGCUCCGGUUGCAGCUCUGCCGCCCACCGCGGCGCCUCCCGCUGCAGCUCGGCGGAUCAGCGGGUCCCGGAGCUCCCGCUGCAACUCGGAGCUGCAGAUGGUGCGCUCGUUGCUGGUGAGAGAUCUAUAUAUAUGCGGUGGAUCUGCCUCUCCACUAGCCAUGAACAUGACGACGCAAGCAACAGAAUCAAUCUAUGAUUUGUGAGUACCUGGUUCCGUUGGGUACAACCAUGUAAAGAAAGUAGAUAUGAUUUGUUCCCUGUUAAUUAGUUGCUUCAGUUGGACAUGGCUUGUAAAGAAAAAAGAUUUGUACGGUAUCAAACUGUAAAUCAGCCACAGGGGCAACUAUGUCUUUUCGCAUGGAGAAAAAAGCAAUAAAUAUUCAAAAAUGAUUACAGUAA